rnacentral:rRNA from 1 species
AUUGAACGCUAGCGGGAUGCCUUACACAUGCAAGUCGAACGGCAGCACGGACUUCGGUCUGGUGGCGAGUGGCGAACGGGUGAGUAAUGUAUCGGAACGUGCCCAGUAGCGGGGGAUAACUACGCGAAAGCGUAGCUAAUACCGCAUACGCCCUUAGGGGGAAAGCAGGGGAUCGCAAGACCUUGCACUAUUGGAGCGGCCGAUAUCGGAUUAGCUAGUUGGUGAGGUAAUGGCUCACCAAGGCCGCGAUCCGUAGCUGGUUUGAGAGGACGACCAGCCACACUGGGACUGAGACACGGCCCAGACUCCGACGGGAGGCAGCAGUGGGGAAUUUUGGACAAUGGGGGAAACCCUGAUCCAGCCAUCCCGCGUGUGCGAUGAAGGCCUUCGGGUUGUAAAGCACUUUUGGCAGGAAAGAAACGGCGCGUGCUAAUACCAUGCGCAACUGACGGUACCUGCAGAAUAAGCACCGGCUAACUACGUGCCAGCAGCCGCCGUAA